rnacentral:rRNA from 1 species
GAUGAACGCUGGCGGCGUGCCUAAUACAUGCAAGUCGAGCGAACAGACGAGGAGCUUGCUCCUCUGACGUUAGCGGCGGACGGGUGAGUAACACGUGGAUAACCUACCUGUAAGACUGGGAUAACUUCGGGAAACCGGAGCUAAUACCGGAUAACAUGUUGAACCGCAUGGUUCAACAGUGAAAGACGGUCUUGCUGUCACUUAUAGAUGGAUCCGCGCCGCAUUAGCUAGUUGGUAAGGUAACGGCUUACCAAGGCAACGAUGCGUAGCCGACCUGAGAGGGUGAUCGGCCACACUGGAACUGAGACACGGUCCAGACUCCUACGGGAGGCAGCAGUAGGGAAUCUUCCGCAAUGGGCGAAAGCCUGACGGAGCAACGCCGCGUGAGUGAAGAAGGUCUUCGGAUCGUAAAACUCUGUUAUUAGGGAAGAACAAAUGUGUAAGUAACUAUGCACGUCUUGACGGUACCUAAUCAGAAAGCCACGGCUAACUACGUG